CCACUGGGAUGAUAGUUUUCCAGCAUUCUUAGUUUCCACCAGAAAGGUUUUCCUUAGUCUUGGGUAAACCUUCCUUGGAUGUCUGAGUGA
ensembl:snoRNA SNORD14 Small nucleolar RNA SNORD14